GUGAUUAAUGUCAUCUUCCGCAUCCUUGCGAAGGGGUACGCCAUUAGGGUGGCCCCCAUAGCCGACAGGAUCACUCACCCCAAUCAGUCGGCAUUUAUUCAGGGUCGUUAUAUACUUGACGGAGUUCUGGUUUUCCAUGAAGCUCUCCAUGAGGUCCACUCUAAACACCUCAAGGCAGUCUUCUUCAAACUGGAUUUCCACAAGGCAUAUGACACGGUCAGUUGGCCCUUCCUUCGGGAAUGCCUGCUACGGAAGGGCUUCGACGACAGGUGGGUCUCCCGAGUGAUGCAAAUGGUUUCCUCGGGCCGGACAUCGGUGAACAUUAAUGGGGAGGUCGGCCCAUUCUUCCCCACAUCUUGUGGGGUACGCCAGGGUGACCCCUUUUCACCGUUCCUCUUCAACAUGGUUGUCGAUGCUCUGACAACCAUCUUAGAUAAAGCCAAGGCCGCCGGCCACAUUAAGGGCAUUGUCCCGCAUCUGGUUAGGGGGAAUGGCAUAUCCCUCCUCCAGUAUGCGGAUGACACCAUUAUCAUGGUGGAAGGCACGGAGACUGACAUCAUGAACUUGAAGUUCCUCCUGCUUUGCUUCCAGCAGAUGUCUGGCCUCAGGAUCAACUUUGAUAAGAGUGUGGUCAUGGUCUUGAGAUACUCCCAAGACAAACGGCAGAGCAUCGCGGAUUGGCUCAAUUGCCAGCUUGGGUGUUUCCCCACGACUUAUCUGGGGAUCCCCAUUAGUGAUUCGAGGCUCAUGGUGGCUGAGCUCCGCCCCACGGUUGGGAAGCUUUAA
rnacentral:rRNA from 1 species